GUUCCGGUUGAUCCCGCCGGAGGUUACUGCUAUCGAGGUUCGACUAAGCCAUGCGAGUCGAAUGUAGCAAUACAUGGCGAACUGCUCAGUAACACGUGGACAACCUGCCCUUAGGUUGGGUAUAAACCCGGGAAACUGGGUAUAAUACCCGAUAGGUCUCGAUUGCUGGAAUGCAUCGAGAUUUAAAGCUCCGGCGCCUAAGGAUGGGUCUGCGGCCUAUCAGGUAGUAGUGGGUGUAGCGUACCUACUAGCCUACGACGGGUACGGGUUGUGAGAGCAAGAGCCCGGAGAUGGAUUCUGAGACACGAAUCCAGGCCCUACGGGGUGCAGCAGGCGCGAAAACUUUACAAUGCUGGCAACAGCGAUAAGGGAACCUCGAGUGCCAGGUUACAAAUCUGGCUGUCGAGAUGCCUAAAAAGCAUUUCAUAGCAAGGGCCGGGCAAGACCGGUGCCAGCCGCCGCGGUAACACCGGCGGCUCGAGUGGUAACCGUUAUUAUUGGGUCUAAAGGGUCUGUAGCCGGCCGGAUAAGUCUCUUGAGAAAUCUGGCAGCUUAACUGUCAGGCUUUCAGGAGAUACUGUCUGGCUCGAGGCCGGGAGAGGUGAGAGGUACUUCAGGGGUAGGGGUGAAAUCUUGUAAUCCUUGAAGGACCACCAGUGGCGAAGGCGUCUCACCAGAACGGACCUGACGGCAAGGGACGAAAGCUAGGGGCACGAACCGGAUUAGAUACCCGGGUAGUCCUAGCCGUAAACGAUACUCGCUAGGUGUCGGCCACGGUGCGACCGUUGUCGGUGCCGUAGGGAAGCCGUGAAGCGAGCCACCUGGGAAGUACGGCCGCAAGGCUGAAACUUAAAGGAAUUGGCGGGGGAGCACCACAACGGGUGGAGCUUGCGGUUUAAUUGGAUUCAACGCCGGG
rnacentral:rRNA from 1 species